rnacentral:piRNA from 1 species
CUUGGUGUUUCUCUGCCUUUUC